UGGGGAAUAUUGGACAAUCGGCGCAAGCCUGAUCCAGCCAUGCCGCGUGAGUGAUGAAGGCCCUAGGGUUGUAAAGCUCUUUCACCGGUGAAGAUAAUGACGGUAACCGGAGAAGAAGCCCCGGCUAACUUCGUGCCAGCAGCCGCGGUAAUACGAAGGGGGCUAGCGUUGUUCGGAUUUACUGGGCGUAAAGCGCACGUAGGCGGACUUUUAAGUCAGGGGUGAAAUCCCGGGGCUCAACCCCGGAACUGCCUUUGAUACUGGAAGUCUUGAGGAUGGUAGAGGUGAGUGGAAUUCCGGGUGUAGAGGUGAAAUUCGUAGAUAUUCGGAGGAACACCAGUGGCGAAGGCGGCUCACUGGACCAUUACUGACGCUGAGGUGCGAAAGCGUGGGGAGCAAACAGG
rnacentral:rRNA from 1 species